rnacentral:rRNA from 1 species
CCUACGGGAGGCAGCAGUGGGGAAUAUUGCGCACUGGGCGAAAGCCUGACGCAGCGACGCCGCGUGAGGGAUGAAGGUCUUCGGAUCGUAAACCUCUGUCAGCAGGGAAGAACGGUCACUGUGCUAAUCAGCAGUGAAUUGACGGUACCUGCAAAGGAAGCACCGGCUAACUCCGUGCCAGCAGCCGCGGUAUACGGAGGGUGCGAGCGUUAAUCGGAAUUCCUGGGCGUAAAGCGCUCGUAGGCGGUAUGUCAAGUCAAGGGUGAAAUCCCCGCGCUCAACGUGGGAACUGCCGUUGAAACGGGCAAACUGGAGGGGGUGAGAGGAUAGUGGAAUUCCAGGUGUAGGAGUGAAAUCCGUAGAUAUCUGGAGGAACAUCAGUGGCGAAGGCGACUAUCUGGCACAUAACUGACGCUGAGGAGCGAAAGUGUGGGUAUCAAACAGGAUUAGAUACCCCAGUAGUC